rnacentral:pre_miRNA from 1 species
AGUUUCCUUGUCCGCAUGAUGCUUUGUAUCAGCACAUCAUUUGGACAAGGAAAGAUG